UGUGCCGCUACCUGGUUCCACACUACAGAGGCACAGCGGGGGCAUAACGGCCAGUGUCUCGAGCUGCAGAAGUGAACAACAGAUAGAGGGCCUCUCUCAGGCUCCCUGAUGAACACUGAAGCCCCCUGGAAAAGUGAAGAGAAUCUCUGCAAUAAAGGGCACACCAGACCACCGUACUUGGAACCGAACAAAUCAUUGGCGAAGCCAGGGACAAAACAACAGCCUGGACUCAGUCUCCCCAGGAGUGGAGCUGACUCUGGACAGCCAAUGCAGGUAAACAUCAAACACACCAGUCCAUCUCUUUUAUGA
rnacentral:lncRNA from 1 species